rnacentral:rRNA from 1 species
CGACCCCAGGAUGGGCGAGGCCACCCGCUGAGUUUAAGCAUAUCAAUAAGCGGAGGAGAAGAAACUUACGAGAGAUUCC